AUGGCUGAGAUUACUCAACAGUAUGACAUGCACUACACGUGAGCUUCAUCACAGCCUCCUCUUCCUCACCUCAUACUCACAGAAAGAUCUCAUUAUAGAUUACCAGCCCAUGCAUUCUGAACAGUGACCCACAGCCAGGUACAACAUCAGUGACUUGGACAGGGAGAUUUAGUGCACGUUUUGGUCUGUGGUUCUGGAUCUGGUGUUUAAUCUUAAACCAGAAAUGAGAAGAUCUUCAGGCCUGUGUGCUGAUUUCUGGUGGUGUUCUAGAUAGUGACUGAGCUCCUCCUAUGAUCCUAUCAUAUCCCACAUAAGUGUGAUAAGAAAGUAUCAUAGGUGGAGCUCAAUCACUAAAAAAAAUACAUAUAUACUGUAUAUAUAAUGACAUUAAAUUUAAAAAAUAAAAUGUCACAAUAUUUUACAAUUUUACGAGUAACUCUAACUACCUCAAUAGAAAUUUGCCUGUUAAUUCAAAUGCAGCAACACACUACGGCAAAUAUAAUUGAACAUAAAUUGGCUUAUUGUUAAUCCAUGUCUGUGAUUUAACUUUAUUUUACUUUUUCCACCACAGCCGUAAUUGGUUUACCAUGUGUUAAAAACAACAAACAAUAAAAACUGAUAUUGUGUGACGUUCAACUCUAGUAAAAUUGUGACCCAGUUCUGCUUUUACUGGUCCUGAAUCAGAAGCACUGGGUGAGUAUAAAAAAAUAAGUGUAAGUGUGUGUGUGUGUGUGUGUGUGUGUGUGUGUGUGUGUGUGUGUGUGUGUGUGUGUGUGUGUGUGUGUGUGUGUGUGUGUGUGUGUGUGUGUGUGUGUGUGUGUGUGAAUAAAAGAUGAAAGCAAUCAGCAGUUCACAUUUUCCUGCUUAUUUACAAACACCAGGUAUUUUGUUUACACGUUUAUUUUACUUUUAGGUCAAAACAGAGCAGCAUCUCAGUAAUAAAGACAUUUUUAUUUUACCUUAUUAUUUUUAUAUGCCUCUGUAUGUUUACUCUGAUAUGGGUGCAUGUGAUAUCUGUGUGGAUGGGUGGAGCGUGGAAAGAAACACAAAGAGUCUCUAAUAUUAAACAGGAUAUUAACCAUGAUAUAGUUACAGUGCUGUUAGGAAAGGGACAGAACUACGUUAGGGUCAUAAAUGAUCUAAUCAUCUCGCUCCGAACAAACAGACACACCCAAAGAGAGAACACACGCACGCACGCACACACAUAAACACACACAGCCUAUCAACUGGAAUCUUCAGCCAGAGCAAGACAUCAACAAGCCAAAUCCAAAAAAACAGACAAAACACACACACACACACACACACACACACACACACACACACACACACACACACACACACACACACACACACACACACACACACACACACACACAACCAGGUGCUGAAACUGGAUAAAACAAAAUUCUCAAGACGGCCAACAGCACUCUGGUGGACAAAACGUCUUACAAAAGUCUUAUAAAUUCGCAAAAAUUGUGUGAUUUUCAACAUUUUAAAAAUACAGCAUAUUCUUCUAAACCUAGUGAUGUCACAUUACACGUAUUGACCAAAAAAGCACUUUUCCAAAAAAAACUGACCAAAAAAGUACACAGUCACUUUAGAGGCUGGUCCUGAAGCACAAAAAAUAACACUGGAACUCCUGCAGUUUUUUUUAUCAGCCCUGAACUGGAGUUUAGGAUGCUAUCAUCACUUUUACAAGACCCCUUGAGGAGGCAGGCAACACUGUGAGAAUCGGGUUUUCUGACUUCUCUAGUUCUUACAGCAAAAUACAACCUGCACUGCUAAUCGACAAGCUAAGGACAUGCACGUAGAUGCUCCUCUGGUGGCCUGGAUUAUCAACUACCUCACACUGGGUUGCUGUGAGGCUGCAGAACCACGGGGAUCCCUCAGGGGACAGUCCUGUUCGCCUUUCUGUUCACACUCUACACAUCAGACUUCAGACACUGCACACAGUCCUGCCAUCUGCAGAUGUUUUUCUGAUGACUCUGCUGUCGUAGGUUGUAUUAGGAAAGGUCAGGAGUACAGAAGUGUGGUGGACAUCUUUGUGGAAUGGUGCGGACAAAAUCACCUGAACUCAAUGUCACAAAGACAAUGUCACUGGAUUUUAGAUCCCCCAAACCCAAUCAGCAUCAUGGGCACUGAGGUGGACAUUGGUAUGGACCAAAAACAAUGAUGCACUGAUGUACAAGAAAGGUCAGAGUUGCCUGUACCUCCCGAGGAGACUCAGAUCUUUUAAUAUCUGCAGAACCAUGAAUACAAUAUCAUACAAGAGCACUUCUGGGUCUCUCUGCUCAUAAAGCUGCAGUGUGUAAUGUCUUUUGUUUAUAAUAAUCAUAUAGCUUUACACGGCAUAGUUAUACUAAUCAUGCUGCAUUUCCUGGUAGAGCAAAACACAUUACUACUGCAUGAUCAUCUCAAUUACAUCAUCCGCUAAACUCGAUACACAACCAGACCGUGAUGCAAGAAAAGAAAUGUACGGCUCACACACAUUUUCAAUUUAAGUAAACGCUUUAUUCUGGUCGAGUGUAUCCCAGGAGCUCUGGGUAUGAGAAAGGAAAUACACCCUGAAAUAAGCCUGGAAUAACGUAGCAAAAAUACGCACUGUGCUACUACACAGCCUGAAAACUGCAGCUCAUUGAACAUCUCCUAAAACAUCAGCCAGGGUCUAAGAUUGUGUUGAGGAUGCGAGCAUUUAUAAGCAAGUCGAUUAUUCCGUAUUAACGCAUUUAAUUAGCUUGUUGUACAUUAAAUAUAAUAAAUUCCGUUAGCUCCGUUUUAUUGGGCUUGGAUUUCAGAACAAGCAUAACAAGAAUCAGUAACUGACUCGUAUCUGUCAUCAGUGUCAACAGAAACAAUUUCUGUUUUCCAUUUCAACAGGUACAUUCAUGACAAACAUCCAAUAGCACCAUAUUCACUGAAUGAUGACAACAAUCUAGUAGCAUGAGCAUUCACUGCUAUUGGAUUUUGACUACAGAUUGUCGGCUCCUCAUUAUUAAGAGUCUCCAGCUCUUGAAGGCUAUCCUUCUCCCCCCGCCCCGGCACGCAGAUUCAUAUCUAACCUUCUUUUCAUCAGACUGAGAAGGUGUUUCAGCUCUGCUCUGGACAUCGCUGGUUACUGCGAUCGAUACACUCUACCUGAGAUAAGAAUGCUAAGCAGUUGGGAAAGAGUUGGAGAGAGAGGAGCUGUGAGAUCACUGAUGCCUGAUGACCACCUCAUCAGAAUCCCAACCCUGGUUCAGAGAAGCCCUGGACUCUCUCUUUUUGAAAAGUGAUCAUGAGCUGCUGUUUUUAAUGACCCCAUGACCACUUAAAUCACCUUAAACCACACCAGAGAGCUUAAGGUAUAUAAAAAAUUCUGAACGAGCAAUUUACUGGGUUUAUGAGAAUAUGACACAUAAAUGAACUACUUGAGUGGAAACUAGAGGUUUUCUGUAAGCAAAAGUUUGUUAAGGAGAAACUUGGAGCUUUUUCAAGUAAUUUACCGAAAGAAUCCGAGGAAAAUGUUGAUAUUCUCAGCAAUGAUCUCAUUUCUACUUUCGCUGUGUGUUUACAUUGUCCAAAUUCAGUGCAGGUGUCAAAUGAUACAAAAUAAAGGAAAAAAAAAUACGAGGAAAUCCCUGCACUUAUAUGACCAGGUUAAUGUAGGUUUUAUUAUAUUUUCCAUCACUGAAUUAUUCAUGACCGUCUUUAAACAUUUUAAGGAACUCUUUCUUUGUACUGGGUCAAGCCAAAGCAUGUACAGUACAUGAAGCAGAUAUGAAUUAACUGUACAGACUGAGACGUGAGACAUUUUAUGAGUUUUAAAAUGUCAAAAGCAAACCAGUCUGAUGAGUAUGAUAGAAAACCGGUCUUUUCUGCGUAAAGCAUAAACGCCGAAGCUCUUUCCAGCGAACAGCGUAGUUCAGUUGAAGCUAGCCAUGUUUGUGCGUAUCUGUUUACAGAUAACAAACUGUAUAAAAGCUUUAAACGUUUCAAGCUUAUUUAAUUAAAGUACUUCUGUGCAUUCACAUCCUUAAUGUUUUGCCUUAGUUUAAAUGUUUGAAUAUAAUUUGAAUAAUGACUUCAAAUAUUUGAAUGGUGAUUUUGUCUGAAAUGCCUUUCACACGCUCACAUGCUAAUCUCUAUUAUCCCGCAUGCUAACAUGUUAGAAGAGUGUAACCGAUUUGGAUGAAGGAACCUUUGUGAAAAGCAGAGAAGCACCUUUAUUUUAACACAUGAGUAAUACAAGAAAGACAACAAGUGCUGGGAUUUUCAAAAGCAUGCUGCCCAGAGCACAAAUAAGAAAGUACAAUAAGAAAUAAAUGUAGAACAUGUAACUAGGAAACUUACUCUCUCUAUCUUACCUACUCUCUCUAUUUCUCGCACGUGACACACACACACAAACGCACAGACAUACACACACACGUGCACACACCCACACACACAAACGAACAGACAUACACACACACGCACACACACAAACACACAGACAUACACACA